rnacentral:rRNA from 1 species
UGGGGAAUAUUGCGCAAUGGGGGAAACCCUGACGCAGCGACGUCGUGUGAGGGAAGAAGGCCUUCGGGUCGUAAACCUCUGUCAGAAGGGAAGAACCGCCUUGGACCUAAUACGUCCUAGGCCUGACGGUACCUUCAGAGGAAGCGCCGGCUAACUCCGUGCCAGCAGCCGCGGUAAUACGGAGGGCGCAAGCGUUAAUCGGAAUCACUGGGCGUAAAGCGCGCGUAGGCUGUUUGAUAAGUCAGACGUGAAAUCCCUCGGCUCAACCGGGGAACUGCGUUUGAUACUGUCGAACUCGAGUCCUGGAGAGGGUGGCGGAAUUCCUGGUGUAGGAGUGAAAUCCGUAGAUAUCAGGAGGAACACCGGUGGCGAAGGCGGCCACCUGGACAGGUACUGACGCUGAGGCGCGAAAGCGUGGGGAGCAAAACAGGAUUAGAUACCCUGGUAGUCCACGCGGUAAACGAUGGAUGCUAGGGUGUCGGGGGAUGGAUCUUCGGCGCCGCAGCUAACGC